GGGGUCCCUCCCUCCAGGUCUCAGCUUUCCGUGCUGAGACAUCAGAGCAACCAGUGCCAGGGAAGUUGUGGGAUAUGGAAAAGGUCUAACUGCCCAAACCAUCGAGCCCAGCAGUUUGCCCGAAUACUGGAAGGAGAAGGCAGCUCCGAUGCUGCUGCAGCUUCCCUGCAGCUGCCAGGGGAAGUAAUAGAAUCUUAGAAUCAUCUGGGUUGGAAAAGAUCACCUGUAAGAUCAUCGAGUCAGGUUGUGCUGUCACUUCUCCAUCCUCUUCUCCUCUUCCUCCCUGGGUCUCCAGCCCGAUGGGAGCAGGACUCCCGACUGAGUCUCCAGGGUGGGAUGUCCCCAGCUACAUGGGAGUCAGGGAUUCCUAAAGGCGUGUCACCCCCCUCCUGGCUCUGGAACACGGGUUCGAGCUGCCCAGGACGGCUCAGGCCACAUCCCUGCCGUGCCAGAACCUGCAUCUCACCUGGGCGCUGCGCAGAGGUGAGGAGGAGGAGGCUCAGGGGCUGUUGCAGCUGCCUGGUGCCACUGCUGCUGUUCCUGCCGUCCACGUUGAGGUACCACAGGUUACAUCCACUGCAGAGGGAUGGAGUCUCAGCCUUCCCUAAUAAUCCUAAGAAUCAAUAGCAGUGUCACAGAUGUGCAGAACAACACCUCUGAGUUGAGAGGGGAACUUCUCAGCAGGAUUUACUCUGAAACCUAGUGACAACACUUCAAGUACCUGUGCUAUCUAUGUCCCUGCUGCUCGUUCUAGCAGAUAGUUCUUACUAAUGAGCUUUACUCAACAGCACUAGAUUUGUCUGUAAGAGCAAAUUCCAGGGAUCAAAAAAUAAGUUUUAAGAUGCAAAUAUUCUGUGAGAUAUCCAGAUUUAAAUGCAUUUUUUUUCUUUUGUUCCUUACUCCAGGAAUAAUUUUUAAAGGAAGCAAGGAGAGAUCCUCUGGAAUGUGAGAGAAUUUUUUUUAGAAGAAAACACCAAAUAACAUAAAAUCACAGGUUUAGUUUUGGUUAGUUUAGGGUUUUUUUAGCUUAUAACCAUGGAAUUUGGAAAAGUUCCCUUCUGUUCACCCAGGGUAGUGUAAGCACAGAUGCCCCCCAUGGGAAGCAGGUCAGGCUCAUCCCCUCCUCUCUGGUUACAGAAUAUCACUGGGGAGGCCAUGGACAUGCUGGUGGGUGCCAGGACUGGUGGCACAGGGUGAACCCCAGCCAGCCACCUCACUGCCCAGGGCAGAGAAAGCUCAGCAGAUGGGUGGUCUCUGGCAGGUGACAAAAAGACUCAAAUAAGUCCCUAAAAUGUCCAACUCAUCCUGGUGGUGGGUUCUCCCUCUGUCCCAAGGUUGGACCCCAGUGCAAGGACCUGAUCUCAGACACAGAUGCUGGGAGAAUUCACACCCCAAGACAGGUUGUUUUUCAGUUUUCUUUAAUCUUCCACAUGACUUUUUUUUUCCAUUUGAGGCAGGAGUACUAACUGCUAAGGAUGCAUAUGGAAUUUGAAUAUGAAUGAUAAGAACAGCUGUGUAUAUCUAUUAUGAAUGAACAUAAACAGAAAUGUAUAAACUGAGAUUUUGGGGCUUUUGGAAGAAUUAGUGCCUUUGUUCCUGGAUUUUUUUCCUAUCAAAGUUUGAACCA
ensembl:lncRNA